rnacentral:lncRNA from 1 species
CAUCUUUCUGUCAACUUUUCUUGGGAAGGAAGCAUAUAUGUGACAACAUUUAAUUUUCCACCACUUCUGCAAUGUUCUUCUAACUGAGAAGUAGGAGAUGUCAUUUACUAGCAGGUCCUGGCUCCAUACUGCUAACUGUUUAAAGUAGUGGUAGAUUGCCUUCAGUUCUUCGUGGAUGUGACUGUCUGGCAAGGAGUGCUUGUCUUACUGCUGCUCUCAGUUACUCAAAAGGAAGAUCUGGUAUCAACACUGAACACUAGCUUUGGGAAUCCUGCUGUCUCGGAUCAGUAUAGGGAUAUAAGAUUGUGACUUUCCGGAGAUCUGGUAACAUUACACUUCCAGUGCAUUACUAAAACAAAACACAAGAUCCCUGAAAACUGAAAUAUGGUCAAGAAGAAAAACUGUCAAUUAAUUUAAGUGUAAAAGGAAAAUGUCACGGUAAAGUGGAUUGGCAUGAAGACUGUGGAUUUGGGCAGUCCAGUCAAGGCAGACAAUCACAAAGGGGAAGCAGAGGCCAUGUGAAGUUGCAGGGUCAAACAGUCUCAGGAUAUGGUCUGCAUGUUAGCACUGAGUCAUCCCCGGGGAUCCAGAAGAAUUCAUUUGGAGAAGAAAGCAGAAGAAGCUGCCCUGAGCCACCGCAAGUGAUCAAUCACAAUUACACUAGCAAGGAUGAACACUUAAGAGCCUGGUGCAAACCCCUGUGCUGCUGAAUGCUUCGACGAUGGUAUGCAAGAAAACAGGAAGUUUCAGGAGUCAGUCCUCCUGAGAUGGAGCCCCCAGCACAAGAAAUAAGUGGCCCUGUUGGAGAGAGUCUGGAGGAGGCCAUGAGGAUGCUCAGAAAGCUUAAGCACCUCUUCUUUGAAGGCUGAGGGAGCUGGACUUGUUCAGGUUGGGGAAGAGAAGUCUCUGUGGACACCUCAUUGUGGCCUUUCAGUGCUGAAAGAGAGCUUACAAGAAAGAUGGAGAGCAACUUUACAUGGACAUGUAGUGAUAAGACAAGGGCUUAUUCCUGCUUGGACAAAUGUUCCUUGUCAACUUCUUGAAAAAUAUGUGGACCAUACUGCAGGCUCUCUGUUGUCACAGCUAGCUGGUGGUGGUGUUCAGUCUAUCAUUUAAAGCCCGCUACCUGUUGGUCUGAUUCCCCAUACCAGGCAAGUGCUUGCUUCAUUUUGAAAAGAAAAAACAAAAUACCACACAACCCUAUCUUACUCAUGGUUUUUUGCUGCUCUGUCUAUUUUGCAGCACUCCAACCUCAGUUUAUAGUCUAGUUCAUAGCAACACAAGGAAAUAGCCUUGUACACUCAGGGCUGGAAAUGAUUAUGCGUAGUGUGUAUUUUAUCUGCAGUAACCAAAAGUCACGAUUAUUGGUGGGCUGUGUCACAUAACUUGGUAUCCCUUUGAUUCUUAAAGGGCAGGUAUUGAUAUUUCAGAAAGCAACCUUACUUUCAUGGGGCUAAUCAUCAGGUUUGCCAUAUGAAAGCCAGCUCUUUGUUAGACAUCUGAGAAACUGUGGC